AUUAAUUUAGUUUAAAAAAAAUAUUACUUUGUGAUAGUGAAGAUUCUUAAGAAAUUAAUA
rnacentral:tRNA from 1 species